rnacentral:lncRNA from 1 species
GCCAAGUGAAUUAUAGUCUGCAUUUCAUCAAGACCUUUGGGUGAUUUAAUGCCUACUAAAAUUUGAGAAGCACUGAUCUAGAACAUCUAUUUCUCACCUUUUGCAAUGAGUAGUAGGUCAGGGAUAAGAAAAGGCUACCUACUUGGAAUCUAGAGCCACCCUGGCCUUUACACUCACUUUAAUACAGAGUAUCUAAAUGACAUGUUAUUUAAUCCGAAUCUCCUUCAUGAAAUGCAUUAAUGACAUUACCCACCACAAAAGAUUUUAUGAGCCUCAUUUUUAAAUUACAAAAGAAAUAGGUAUUUGCAUAUUAAAAUUAUAGAAAUGUUAGUGUAUUUCGAAAAUUAGAUUUGUCUUUUUAAGUUGGACAUUUUACUAUUGAAUUAUUUCCUCAGUUUUGAGUAGACCACAUGCGGAUUUCUGGUAACGAAUUUUGUAGAUAGUAAUCACUAUUGGUAUAGUAUUUCAAAAGCUUGAGGUACAAGUCAGGCUUUCAAAAUCUAAUGAUUGUCAGAGAAAAAGACAUUAAGUGCCUCCUUGAAGAAAAGUAUUCUUGGAAGGGUUACCCUCAAUCAUAGCAGAUUCUAUCUUAGUAAAUGUGCUUCAUUUGGUGGGAUGGGGGAUUCAGGAAAGAUGCUUAUAAAACCAAUGAAGUGAACUAUGUCAUCUGACUAGAUAGUCUGAUCAGCUCCAUCAACCACAGAAACAGUGGAAUGACAGCUGUCUUAGACAGAAAUUCUGCAUAGCUAUUAAAAAGUGCUCAUAUUAGCAAUAACAACCGCCUGCCUUUUGGCCAGACAGAAAAUAGACCUUUUCUUUGAUAUUUUUCUUGAUAUGAAGUUAUAACCACUUAAUUAUUUUUAUUGUUUUGUAUAUUAAUGAAAUGAAUGGUAUUUUCUAAACCUGACAUGGUAAUCAUCACUGCUCAAACUACCAUCAAGGAGAUAUUGUGAGAGAUUUAAAAAUUUAUUCUGCUAUUGAUUUGAAAGUUUGGUUUGGUUUUGCUUGAUUUUCACCUAAGAGGUUAUCAGGGUAUCUAAUAAAUGAACAUUCUUCUUAUAAGGAAUUUUGUGUUGAUUAAAAGCAAGAAUUGUCUUUUGUGAAUGGUAUAUUUCUUCCAUUUAGAAAAGGCUCAAUUAAUUCCCAGGUUUGUAAUUGAGCUCUCAUACUUUAUUUUGAAAUUCUAAGUGAGAGAAGAGGUGUUAUAAUUUACUGAGAGCUGGCUUUGUUUAUAGAAGGACAUGAAUCAAUAUAUCUACCAUUUAAAUACUUCUAGUGCUGCUAACUUGAUCCAAUAAAAGGCAAUCAUCCAAUUUAUUUUAAAUUUCUCUUGAAAAUUCACACAAUUAUAUUUUCAGUAUCAUUUCUCUUUCCUAGAGAACAGAAUUCUUUUUUUCUUCUGAUCUGUCCAUCUAUAUACAGUCUUAAAAUCCUUUUUUGGAUACUAGUUAGCUGCCCUGGUCACUUACAAAUAUGUGAGUUCUUUCUUCUUUUUGUUAUAAUGUAAAAUGACCAGAGAUAUAUAGAUAUUAAAAAAAGAAAAACAAUGCUUUUUGGUUUGUGUUGUUUUUAGAUAGAAUCCUUAUCCAUGGUUACUUCCACUACUGAACACUUCUUCACAGAACAAUAAUAUUUUUCCAGGAUACCACCUAAAGCAACCCACACUAGCAUUUUUCUGCAAGCUCACACAUGAGGAAUCCCUUCCUGGUAAUAUUUGCACUUCUAUUUUUUCAUCUUCUCCAGGGUUAAAUGUGCUUAUUUCUCAGUCUUUCAAAGUAGACCAUUUCCUUUCAACUCUUUUCUGGGUGAAAUCUCAGAUAUUAACACAAGUGUUUGAUAGGUUAAUUGUCAGCUUCCUUCUUUUAUUUUUAUUAUUUAUCUUUAUUUGAUUUUAACCUAAAGAGAAUCCCCAAAAGUAGAGAUUACACGUAUAGUAGCAAAAUCAUAGAGUAAGGUUUGAUAAUGAAAACUGAGUCAGUGUUUCUUUAAUUAAAGCUUAUGGGUACACUUGACCUGGAUGUGUAUUCUAAAAUGACUCUUUAUUCUAGGUUUGACAGAUUGGUUUAGGACAAUAGAGAAAUCUUCAUUUAGGACUUGAAAUAGUGCAAUUUGAAUGUUAGCUUGUAACCCUGUAACUCACUCAGCCUACAAUUAUGUCUUCCAACACAGCUUAUUUUAUAACUAUCAUUAGCUCUCAUUUGUUGUUCUGUGGUUUUCAUCAUUUUUAUUUCUACACACAGUUAGGUUGUGCCAACAUUGCACUAUUUUAUCAUGUAUAAUCUUUUUUAUGGGCCUGUCAUGCAUUAAACUGUCUGCAAGAUGUUCAUAUUCAUGGUAGUGAAAAGUACUUGCUGGUCUUUCACAAACUGAUCAAAUAUUUAAUGGGGUUUUGGUUUGAGCUUGUUGGAAACAGUAAUGUAAUAACCCUCACACAGUUCGCUCAGAGCAUAAAUUUUCCUCACUUCGUUGCUGGAUAUGAAUGUAUUUUGAAUUCCUGGGAUUUUGUCUUCACCAUACCACUAUUUCCAUCAUUAUAAUUUUAAGAUUUCGGCUACAUUAAUAUGCAUCCCUAACUGAUAAAUCUUUUUCCUUGACUUUCUUGACACAUUUAUUUCAAAGCUAAAAUGCUUAAGAGAGUAAAAUGAGUUCAUCUUUAGGAAGAAUUGGAAAGUUUAACUCAUGAUGUUGUGCAGUGAUUUUUUUCAGUAAUCUUGUGAAUGUCUUAGGAGUCAAUCAGUUCAGUUGGUUCCUAAUUCUAUAUAUUUACCUACUGGAUAACAUUCUCAAACUAAAUGUUUAGUACAUAAAUAUCAUCCCACCAUUAUUCCUUUUAAAUUAUUUAAUAAAGAAAUGAAAGGGUUGGUUCUGUUUUAAUAGUCAGAGAUUAUGUCCUUACCUGCCCUACCCAACCACCCCCCGCCCGCCCUUUUAAGCUCCUUUAAAGCCCUUUAAUUGUUUUGAUUUGGGAUGAAGCCCACACUCCAACAAUUACAACAUUCUGUUUGGUAUUGCCAUUUUUCCAACAUAAUUUUAUCUCUCUUGUCUUCCAAACCAUGGUAAACAUCUCUGCUUCUUUGAUGCCCUACAUUUCUUUCAGGGUAUUUGUAAUUCUAUUUCGUUUGUUGCACUUGCUGUUCACUCUGCUUUUGGAAUUGUUUCCUCAACCCUUCAUUUGGCCAGUCUUCCUCUCACUGUUCCUAUUCCAGCUUAACUAUUAUUUCCUCGGGUGAUUUUUAUCCUUUUCUACAGGCUCUGUUAGAUGUUUUGAUAAAUAAUUUUAUAGCAGUUACUCUUUUUUUUUUCCUUUAGAGCAGUUAGUGUUAUUGUAAUAAAAUGAUUGCUUCAGUGAUUAUGAGUGUAAACCUACUCAGUUGACAAAAGUUGUAUGAGGGCAGAGGUUGUAUGUCUUAUUUUCCACAGAUUGCCUUUUAGCCAAUAGUCUAUACAAAUUUUAUGAGUGAGUAAAUGAAUGGAAUACCCUCCCAACAAAUGUUUCUAAGAAUCCAUAAAGAGAAAACAAUAUCAUUUGCAUAUUAACAAUGAUAUUAAGAUACGGGACUUUUGUGGAUUUUAGCAUUGAAUGCCUUAGUUGAUAAUAAGCUAAAUUUUUGUGCUAAUAAAAAACAUGUUGCAGUACCAAAAGAUGCAUGGGUUUUUGCAAAAGGUAUCUACCAAGCACAUGACAAAACAGUUGCCUAAAAAAUUAAUUUUUUAAGGGGAAACCUGUCCAGGCUUUGCUAAAUUCUUGAUCCUUGUAAUAAUAAGGCUUAGUGUGAUUAAGAGAGGAUUUUCAAGCUUAUGUAGUCAGCUGUUUUUUUCCUCAGCUGUAGGCAUUGCUGACUUAAGCAAGUCUAAGAUAUUAUUUAUCAAUAUUAAGUGCAGAACUAUUCAAUUGCUAGUUCUUCUUAAUGCAAUGUACAUGUGUAAUGGGAACCAUUAUUUAUAAUUGAACUUGAUUUUUUAGACUUCCUUUGCUAAAUAGCUGCAUUGAGAUGUAAAUUAUUCUGUAAAAAGUCAAGAGUUUAGAACAUAAAGCAGAAAUCCAUACCAUGUAAAGAUUUUAGAAUCUCAAUUGACAAGCUACUUACUGAUCCACUAAAAUGUCAGAUAAUGCAUUUUAGGCAUUUUUAUUAGAAUUUCCAUGGGAAAUGACAUUGGUGGCUGGAAAUAAUUCGCUGGAAAAUAUAUCUUUUAGGUUAACACUAGUUAAAUGGAUUAGGUUGAUAAUACUAUGAAUUAAAUUAUAGGAGAAAGGAAAAAGUGUCAUUGCUAUAUAUUUCAUCUAGAACCCCUACACUCACAACUUUUGUUGUUCUAAGUUUUUGAACAUUUUUAGCUUUCCCUCAUGACUUCUCUUUAAUAUGCUUUAUUGUUAUAAAAUAUUUAUUAUAAAAAAUGUAAAAACAUACUGUUGUACAAAUAACAAGAUAAGUAGUUACAAUUUUUAUUGUACUCAUUACCCAUCCUAUAAUCUGUUUAUUCAAAAAACUUUAGGGAGUUCUCAUUGAGACUCAGCAUUAAUAAACCCUAUUAUCCAUGAGCAUGUGGGUUCGAUCCCUGGCCUUGCUCAGUGGGUUAAGGAUCUAGUGUUGCCACAAGCUGAUAUGUAGGUUGCAGAUGUGGAUUGGAUCUGGCAUUGCUGUGGCUGUGGCCUAUGCCCUCAGCUGCAAGCUCCCUUUGGACCCUAGCCUGGGAACUUCCAUAUGCCGCAGGUGCAGCCCUAAAAAGACAAAAUCAAACAAACAAAAAUUUAGUUGUGAAAACUGAUUUUAUAUUGAGUAUGACUUUCUUUAAAUAUAGUUGAAGGGGAAGUUCUCAUCAUGGCUCAGUGGAAAAGAAUCUCACUAGCAUCCAUGAGGACACAGGUUUGAUCCCUGGCCUGGCUCACUGGGUUGGGGUUCUGGCGUUGCCAUGAGCUGUGGUAUAGGUCGCAGAGGCGGCUCAGGUCUGGCAAUGCUGUAGCUGUUGUGUAGAUCAGCAGCUACAGCUGCUAUUCAACCCUAGCCUGGGAACCUCCAUAUGC